CCUACGGGCGGCAGCAGUCGAGAAUCAUUCACAAUGGGGGAAACCCUGAUGGUGCGACGCCGCGUGGGGGAAUGAAGGUCUUCGGAUUGUAAACCCCUGUCAUGUGGGAGCAAAUUAAAAAGAUAGUACCACAAGAGGAAGAGCCGGCUAACUCUGUGCCAGCAGCCGCGGUAAUACAGAGGUCUCAAGCGUUGUUCGGAAUCACUGGGCGUAAAGCGUGCGUAGGCUGUUUCGUAAGUCGUGUGUGAAAGGCGCGGGCUCAACCCGCGGAUGGCACAUGAUACUGCGAGACUAGAGUAAUGGAGGGGGAACCGGAAUUCUCGGUGUAGCAGUGAAAUGCGUAGAUAUCGAGAGGAACACUCGUGGCGAAGGCGGGUUCCUAGACAUUAACUGACGCUGAGGCACGAAGGCCAGGGGAGCGAAAGGGAUUAGAUACCCUAGUAGUC
rnacentral:rRNA from 1 species